CCAUGUUCCUGCCUUGAUGAUAAUGGCUAAACCUCUGAACUUAAUCAGCUCUUAAGGACAGACCUCAGAGAGAACUUGGUGACCACUUCAGUACUAUGAUCCAGGAAGCCUUUGUAAGCAAGCAUGCAUCUUCACCUUGUGGACUUCACCUUGUGGACUUCUAAGCACAGACACACAGCAAGGAAGAAAACUCCUAUGUUCAAACUGCUGCACAUGAGCUGGAAAAGACAGUGACUAGACAAUAGAGAGAAGAGUAGAGAGAAGAGACUUCUGUCAGUUAUGGGAGAAGGGAGAAGGAAGAAAAAGUCACCUUAAGAAAAAGGUAUGGAGAGACAUUGAAUACACCUGAAACCCAAAGGAACAGAGCAACACAAAAAUGCAAGCAUCUUGGGAAUUUUGGCUGGGGGUAACCAUAUUAGAUUAAAGGAUUAGAAUAGA